rnacentral:rRNA from 1 species
UACGUAGGGGGGCAAGCGUUAUCCGGAUUUACUGGGUGUAAAGGGAGUGUAGGUGGCCUGGCAAGCCAGAUGUGAAAGCCCGCGGCUCAACUGCGGGACUGCAUUUGGAACUGUUAGGCUUGAGUGCAGGAGAGGAAAGUGGAAUUCCUAGUGUAGCGGUGAAAUGCUUAGAUAUUAGGAGGAACACCAGUGGCGAAGGCGGCUUUCUGGACUGUAACUGACACUGAGGCUCGAAAGCGUGGGGAGCAAACAGG